GAUGAACGCUGGCGGCGUGCCUAAUACAUGCAAGUCGAGCGAACAGACGAGGAGCUUGCUCCUCUGACGUUAGCGGCGGACGGGUGAGUAACACGUGGAUAACCUACCUAUAAGACUGGGAUAACUUCGGGAAACCGAAGCUAAUACCGGAUAAUAUAUUGAACCGCAUGGUUCAAUAGUGAAAGACGGUUUUGCUGUCACUUAUAGAUGGAUCCGCGCCGCAUUAGCUAGUUGGUAAGGUAACGGCUUACCAAGGCAACGAUGCGUAGCCGACCUGAGAGGGGGAACGGCCACCUGGGAACUGAGACCCGGCCCAGGUCCCGAGGGGGGGCAGAGGUAGGGAAUCUGCCGAAAGGGGGGAAAGCCUGACGGAGCAACGCGGGGGGGGUGAAGAAGGGCUGCGGAUCGGAAAACUUUGUUAUUGGGGAAAAACAAAUGUGUAAGUAACUAUGCACGUUUUACCGGUACCGAAACAGAAACCCCGGGCUAACUCCGG
rnacentral:rRNA from 1 species